AUGGGCGCAGUCCCGGCCUCCACCAUUGCACUGAUAAUGGUUUGGGGUGCCCUGGGAACAGCUCAGAUCCUGCAGCCCCGCUCGGCAGAGGCGCUGGAGGGAGCUCCGCUCAACCUCACCUGUGACCACUCCUCAAUCACCAUGAGGGACUCUAUCCACUGGUACCGGCAGUUCCCCAACCGCGGACCCCAAUUCAUUGUGUCCGGAGUCAAGGACUUUGUCCAAGUCUCCGACCCGGAGGGCGCUCUGCACAUCUCGGCGGACAGAAAAUCCAGCCGCCUGGCUCUCCGCGCAGCCGGGCGGGGGGACGCGGCCGUGUAUUACUGCGCUGUGAGCGACACGGUGCGACAGCCUGAGCCUGCCCCGGGCUAA